GAUUUCAUCCAAUUACUCAACAUGGCUUAUGCACUUUUCAAAAACUUGGCCUUUGCCAAAAAUCCAUUCUCGGGGAUACCCCGCAAAGGCAUCUUACCGAGACUGCCAAGGCUGUUUUAUUGUCACACACACAAACACAUUUCACCUCUGACAACACAGUCGUUCCUCGGCGUUGGUUGAGUCCCAGUUUCACGUGGUGGCCAGCGUGAAGUGUACUCAAAUCCUACCUCGGGAGUUAUCCUACGCGCCUCUCCAAUCAAGGUAAGCUCAAUAAUUGGGAACCGUGCCCCUCUAAUUAGGCUAGCCCACGGAACCCCCGUCACUGCAGUGCCCACAAAUCCUACCUCGGGAGUUAAUCUACGCGCCUCUCCAAUCGAGGUAAGCUCAAUAAUUGAGAACCGUGCCCCUCUAAUUAAGCUGGCCCACGGAACCCCCGUCAUUGCAGUGCCCACUUUAUAAUCCACCAACCAAUAAAAUCACAAUAGUAUGACAUGGCUCACUUAACACAUUCAAG
rnacentral:lncRNA from 1 species